rnacentral:rRNA from 1 species
GUUCGGAUUGCAGUCUGCAACUCGACUGCAUGAAGUCGGAAUCGCUAGUAAUCGCGGAUCAGCAUGCCGCGGUGAAUACGUUCCCGGGCCUUGUACACACCGCCCGUCACACCAUGGGAGUAGAUUGUACCAGAAGCGGCUAGCCUAACCUUCGGGAGGGCGGUUACCACGGUAUGGUUUAUGACUGGGGUGAAGUCGUAACAAGGUAGCCGUAGGGGAACCUGCGGCUGGAUCACCUCCUUUAAAGAAAAGGGUCUAGACCCCACACACGCCACUCGGUAAGGAAUUGGGCCUAUAGCUCAGCUGGCUAGAGCACACGACUGAUAAUCGUGAGGUCAGUGGUUCGAGUCCACUUGGGCCCACCAAAUGGGGCUGUAGCUCAGUUGGGAGAGCACCUGCUUUGCAAGCAGGGGGUCACCGGUUCGAGACCGGUCAGCUCCACCACAGGGAGAGAAGGCCCGC